GAGUUUGAUCCUGGCUCARAUUGAACGCUGGCGGCAGGCCUAACACAUGCAAGUCGAGCGGUAACAUUUCUAGCUUGCUAGAAGAUGACGAGCGGCGGACGGGUGAGUACAACUUGGGAAUCUGCCUGAUGGAGGGGGACAACCACUGGAAACGGUGGCUAAUACCGCAUAAUCUUUUCGGAGCAGAGUGUGGGACCUUCGGGCCACACGCCAUCAGAUGAGCCCAAGCAAGAUUAGGUAGUUGGUGGGGUAAAGGCCUACCAAGCCGACGAUCUUUAGCUGGUCUGAGAGGAUGAUCAGCCACACUGGGACUGAGACACGGCCCAGACUCCUACGGGAGGCAGCAGUGGGGAAUAUUGGACAAUGGGGGCAACCCUGAUCCAGCCAUGCCGCGUGUGUGAAGAAGGCCUUCGGGUUGUAAAGCACUUUCAGUGGUGAGGAAGGCGUUGUAGUUAAUAGCUGCAACGAUUGACGUUAGCCACAGAAGAAGCACCGGCUAACUCCGUGCCAGCAGCCGCGGUAAUACGGAGGGUGCGAGCGUUAAUCGGAAUUACUGGGCGUAAAGCGCACGUAGGCGGUUUGUUAAGCAAGAUGUGAAAGCCCCGGGCUCAACCUGGGAAUUGCAUUUUGAACCGGCAGGCUAGAGUUUUGAAGAGGGUGGUAGAAUUUCCUGUGUAGCGGUGAAAUGCGUAGAUAUAGGAAGGAAUACCAGUGGCGAAGGCGGCCACCUGGUCAAAAACUGACGCUGAGGAGCGAAA
rnacentral:rRNA from 1 species